rnacentral:piRNA from 1 species
UGCUGAGCUUGGAGGUUUCUAAAACGCCUU